UACGGAGGGUGCAAGCGUUAUCCGGAUUCACUGGGUUUAAAGGGUGCGUAGGUGGGCAGGUAAGUCAGUGGUGAAAUCUCUGGGCUUAACCCGGAGACUGCCGUUGAUACUAUCUGUCUUGAAUAUAGUGGAGGUGAGCGGAAUAUGUCAUGUAGCGGUGAAAUGCUUAGAUAUGACAUAGAACAUCGAUUGCGAAGGCAGCUCGCUACACUAUGAUUGACACUGAGGCACGAAAGCGUGGGGAUCAAACAGG
rnacentral:rRNA from 1 species